ensembl:lncRNA
GACUGCAAUUUGCUAAUAAAAAAAUUAAAACUUCAAUAAAAAUACCACAUCUGGUAAAAGUGACAUGAUUGUGAUUAGUAAACCUGUGAUCCAUCCCAGUGCAUACUUCUGUAUCGAUUAUUUCCACUUUGAAAAGUUUCCUGUUCGUGCUCUUUCUUUGCAGUUAAAGAGAAACAUGAGAGACACAUUCUAGUAUUAGAAUCUCUUUUCCUGAAGGACGGACUGCUCUUGAAUUGUCCAAAUUUGUCAUAAAACUAAUUCAUUAUUCUGAGGUUACCUUUCAUUCUGCAAAUCGUGCAAGACAACAUUAGCUCUGAUCUUAGCAAAACAGCAACUAACCACUUCCUUUUUUUAUCAGCAGCUCCUCGUCAGAAACAUAAAGUUGGGGGUGAAGAUGAGGCCUGUUUCACUCUCUCACUGUCGGCCAUGAUAUUACAACUGAACCAAACAGCGCUGCUCUUCAUUCAGCUGUUAGUGAUGCUGCGUGUCUUUGCAGUGAAGCUUGAAGAAAACAACAGAGUUAUGUUGGCAUUCAGAGGAGAUCCAGUGACGCUGACUUGUAACAUAUCUGAAAAAAAUGCAACACAAAUCUCCUGGACAAACGGCAGAUCUGUUUUUCAAUAUUCUAUCCAGCUGAAUCGCACUUUUUCAAAUUUUUCAUCUAACAGACUAAAAAUAAAUCCCGAGUUACCUACAAAUCUGAUUAUUUUUAGUGCUCAACCAGAGGAUGAAGGACUUUAUACAUGUAGCAUAACUGGCCUAGAUGGCCUACACACCAUUACAUGGAAUUUAACUGUGUCUGGGAACCCAGAAGAAUCGAUUUCAUCAAAGUAUUUUACAUUCAUACUUCCAUCUGCAAUUGGAUUCCUUCUGUGUGGCAUCACACUGGCUGUCUUCUUCUACAGAAAAAUGAUGAUGAGGACACUGAAUCAGGAUCCAGUCCAGGAUCAGUUUCCCCCUCAUUCAGGAGAAGAGGCAGCACACUCACAACCACAGGGUGGCACUGCUCUUUGUACAAACAACAAACGGAGCAGUCAGCAUAUGGAGAGGCUCAAUUUAAUCUACGGUCACUUCUGAGCUGAUGAUUCUUCCAGUUACACAGAGACAUGGACGUUUUUCAACUUCAGAGGGACGACAACAAGGCUACUAUUGCCUCUUCAGCUCAGAAACACAGCUCUGGCUGUGAGCACAGCCAACCACUUCCAUUCAAUCCCUCUGUUCACAAGGAGCAGCCAGCUAGAAGAAAGUUUGAAUUCAAGGACUGGAAAAAAGAACUAAACAUCUUGUUUCAGAGACAGAAUGAACAUUGUUAAAUAAGUUUUCAGUGCAGUAAAAACUUAUUCAGGAACAUUGUACAUUUAUGUAUUUAAACAGUUAUAAUGGUUACUGCAAUUUAAUAAAAUAAUAAAAUAUAUUCACAAUCCCCUUAUAUCAUUUCCUAAAUCCCUGUAUUUUGUCAAUGCAGCCAACAGGGGUGAACGUGGUUCAGGGGGUUGGGAAGCUCAUCUGGUAACCAAAAGCUCAUCUUGUCAGUCUGCCCCAGGGCAGCUGUGGCUACAACUGUAGUUUGCCUCCACCAGUGUGUGAAUGUGAGAGUGAAUGAAUAGUGGAGUUGUAAAUCAAUUUGAGGGUCUCGAAAAGCGCUAUACAAAUGCAAUCCAUUAUUAUUAAUAGUCGUAAGGAAAAUACCUCAAACAUUUUUAUCACCUUCACCUUUAGAUCAGUGUUUUGAGGUCAGAUGUACUUUCUAUAUGUUCGCAAUGCAUACCACAAGAAAUCAUCAUCAAAGUUAGAAGUUUUUUUC